CAGUCGAGCGAAUGGAUUGAGAGCUUGCUCUUAUGAAGUUAGCGGCGGACGGGUGAGUAACACGUGGGUAACCUGCCCAUAAGACUGGGAUAACUCCGGGAAACCGGGGCUAAUACCGGAUAACAUUUUGAACUGCAUGGUUCGAAAUUGAAAGGCGGCUUCGGCUGUCACUUAUGGAUGGACCCGCGUCGCAUUAGCUAGUUGGUGAGGUAACGGCUCACCAAGGCAACGAUGCGUAGCCGACCUGAGAGGGUGAUCGGCCACACUGGGACUGAGACACGGCCCAGACUCCUACGGGAGGCAGCAGUAGGGAAUCUUCCGCAAUGGACGAAAGUCUGACGGAGCAACGCCGCGUGAGUGAUGAAGGCUUUCGGGUCGUAAAACUCUGUUGUUAGGGAAGAACAAGUGCUAGUUGAAUAAGCUGGCACCUUGACGGUACCUAACCAGAAAGCCACGGCUAACUACGUGCCAGCAGCCGCGGUAAUACGUAGGUGGCAAGCGUUAUCCGGAAUUAUUGGGCGUAAAGCGCGCGCAGGUGGUUUCUUAAGUCUGAUGUGAAAGCCCACGGCUCAACCGUGGAGGGUCAUUGGAAACUGGGAGACUUGAGUGCAGAAGAGGAAAGUGGAAUUCCAUGUGUAGCGGUGAAAUGCGUAGAGAUAUGGAGGAACACCAGUGGCGAAGGCGACUUUCUGGUCUGUAACUGACACUGAGGCGCGAAAGCGUG
rnacentral:rRNA from 1 species